UACGGGGGGUGCAAGCGUUAAUCGGAAUUACUGGGCGUAAAGGGUGCGUAGGUGGUUUGAUAAGUUAUCUGUAAAAGCCCUGGGCUCAACCUGGGAAGGCCAGAUAAAACUGUUGAACUAGAGUAUGGGAGAGGGUAGUGGAAUUUCCGGUGUAGCGGUGAAAUGCGUAGAGAUCGGAAGGAACACCAGUGGCGAAGGCGGCUACCUGGCCUGAUACUGACACUGAAGCACGAAAGCGUGGGGAGCAAACAGG
rnacentral:rRNA from 1 species